rnacentral:rRNA from 1 species
GACGAACGCUGGCGGCGUGCUUAACACAUGCAAGUCGAACGGAAAGGCCUGCUUUCCCUUGUGGAUUGCGGGUACUCGAGUGGCGAACGGGUGAGUAACACGUGAGUGAUCUGCCCCCAACUUGGGUAUAAGCCUGGGAAACUGGGUCUAAUUCCCGAUAGGACUGCAGGGUGGUGCCUGUGGUGGAAAACGAUUUUCUAGUGGUUGGGGAUGAGCUCGCGGCCUAUCAGCUUGUUGGUGGGGUAAUGGCCUACCAAGGCGGCGACGGGUAGCCGGCCUGAGAGGGUGGACGGCCACAUUGGGACUGAGAUACGGCCCAGACUCCUACGGGAGGCAGCAGUGGGGAAUAUUAUACAAUGGGCGGAAGCCUGAUGCAGCGACGCCGCGUGGGGGAUGACGGCCUUCGGGUUGUAAACUCCUUUCGACCGCGAGGAAGCCACCUGGUUGGAAGGGUGGUGACGGUAGUGGUAGAAGAAGCACCGGCUAACUACGUG